rnacentral:rRNA from 1 species
AUGUGAAUACCUUGGCUUAACCAAGGAAGGGCAUUUGAAACUGCUUGGCUUGAGUACGGGAGGGGGAAGCGGAAUUCCCGGUGUAGAGGUGAAAUUCGUAGAUAUCGGGAGGAACACCGGUGGCGAAGGCGGCUUUCUGGACCGAUACUGACGCUGAGACGCGAAAGCGUGGGGAGCAAACAGGAUUAGAUACCCUGGUAGUCCACGCCUUAAACGUUGGGCACUAGGUGUUGUGGGUAUUGACCCCUGCAGUGCCAAGGGCGAAUUCCACAUUG